rnacentral:misc_RNA from 1 species
UAUGAAGAACGCAGCGAAAUGCGAUAAGUAAUGUGAAUUGCAGAAUUCAGUGAAUCAUCGAAUCUUUGAACGCACAUUGCGCCCGCCAGUAUUCUGGCGGGCAUGCCUGUUCGAGCGUCAUUACAACCCUCAGGCCCCCGGGCCUGGCGUUGGGGAUCGGCGGAGCCCCCCGUGGGCACACGCCGUCCCCCAAAUGCAGUGGCGGUCCCGCCGCAGCUUCCAUCGCGUAGUAGCUAACACCUCGCGACUGGAGAGCGGCGCGGCCACGCCGUAAAACACCCAACUCUUCUGAAGUUGACCUCGAAUCAGGUAGGAAUACCCGCUGAACUUAAGCAUAUCAAUAAGCGGAGGA